GGGAACCCCGGCAAUAACACGGGGCACGUAACACCUGGCUCUUGGCAUUCUGUCCGCCCAGUAUAUGAGGAGACACGGCCGGGAGACUGCCACACUUCACGCACCCUUGACAUGGAGCGACGCACACUGCUUGUCCUGCUAGUGUGUAGCUGUGUUUUGGCUGGCACGGCAGAGGCCUCGCCCUUCUACUUCCUUCCCUUCAUGCCCUUGAGGUCCAGGUCGGGGUAUCAGCCCAAACCAAGCCACCUUCACACAAAAACGCGCGUCGCCGUCACAGGGAAGCGAGGAAGUAACAGCGGGUAAAGAAGCAGACUACAUACAAUAGCUCCCCUUCACAUCGCUUCCUGGCGCUGCACCUCCACUAUACUGAAUAGGCUCUAGAAGAAGUGACACGGGUUUGUUUUGGGUGUUUUUUUUAGGAUUCCGGUGACAGGUUAACAAGAUUUCCACAUAAUUAACAGGAGAAAUACUUUUGAGAACCCGGUUAAUCAUCUCUCUGGCCUUUGAAAUUUGUCGUGGUGAGAGAUCAAAGCUUUUCUGAAUACUGGUGCUUAUGUCAUGGGGUUUUAUUUUUUAGGACGGGAUGAAUAUUUGGAAUAAAACUUGAGUAAUCGUG